rnacentral:rRNA from 1 species
UAAGACGAGCUGUGCAAACGUUAUUCGGAAUUACUGGGCUUAAAGAGUUCGUAGGCGGCGCGUUAGGUGGGGUGUGAAAUCCCUCGGCUCAACCGAGGAAUGGCGCUCCAAACCGGCGUGCUUGAGGAAGGUAGAGGUGAGCGGAACUGAUGGUGGAGCGGUGAAAUGCGUUGAUAUCAUCAGGAACACCGGAGGCGAAGGCGGCUCACUGGGCCUUUUCUGACGCUGAGGAACGAAAGCCAGGGUAGCGAACGGGAUUAGAUACCCCGGUAGUCCUGGCUGUAAACGAUGAGCACUAGGUCGAGGGUCUCCCACAGAUCCUUGGCCGUAGCGAAAGUGUUAAGUGCUCCGCCUGGGGAGUAUGGUCGCAAGGCUG